rnacentral:rRNA from 1 species
UACGUAGGGGGCGAGCGUCGUCCGGAAUGAUUGGGCGUAAAGGGCGCGUAGGCGGCCUGUUAAGUCUGGAGUGAAAGUCCUGCUUUCAAGGUGGGAAUUGCUUUGGAUACUGGCGGGCUUUAGUGCAGGAGAGGUUAUCGGAAUUCCCGGUGUAGCGGUGAAAUGCGUAGAGAUCGGGAGGAACACCAGUGGCGAAGGCGGGUAACUGGACCGCAACUGACGCUGAGGCGCGAAAGUGGGGGGAGCAAAC